UUAAAUAUUUUGAUGCUUCCUGUAUUGAACUGAAAUACUGAUUUUUACUUAACUAAAGGGAUGAAGGAACUAACUAUAUGUACAUUUGUUUUUAAUCAACAUUAAUUUAGGUAAAUGUAUUCAGUUUUGUGUGGAGUGUAUGGGGGUUACGUUUGUGCAGUCUGUGCAUAUGUGUAAAUAUAAAUGUGCAUCUAAAGGGCAUUAUGCCCAACUAGGUCAGAAGAACUGGAUCAAAACAGUUGAAACUUAACAUGGCUAAAUGUAAGUCCUCAUGGGAGGAAACCUGGUUUGGCAACAAAUUAUUUGAAAAAGUUUUGGAAAGUUUGUUGGCCAAAAAUAUUACAAGCCUUGUUAAGAAAAAUGUUGCAAUCUUGAACAUUGAAGUGUAGAUUUAAUGGCAGUUUAAUUGACAAGAUAGUCUUUAUAUCUAAUAAACAGCUCUGUGGUGUUGUUUCCUUUUGGAUACUACAUUUUAAGGGGGCAUCCUAUAAACUGUUUAACCCAAAAGCAGUGUGAUGGUUAAUAUUGAGUGUCAACUUGGUUGGAUUGAAGGAUGCAAAGUAUUGUUCCUGGGUGUGUCUGUGAGAGGGUUGCCAAAGGAGAUUAACAUUUGAAUCAAUGGACUGUGAGAGGCAGCCCCACCCUCAAUCUGGGUGGGCACCAUCUAAUCAGCUGCCGGUGUGGCUAGAAUAAAAGCGAGCAGAGGAACAUGGAAAGACUAGACUGGCUGAGUCUUCUGGCCUUCAUCUUUCUCCCAUGCUGGAUGCUUCCUGCCCUUGAACAUUGGACUGCAAGUUCUUUAGCUUUUGGACGUUUGGACUUACACCAGUGGUUUGCCAGGGGCUCUCAGACCUUCUGCCACAGACUGAAGGCUGCACUGUCAGCUUCCCUACUUUUGAGGUUUUGGUACUCAGACUGGCUUUCUUGCUCCGCAGCUUGCAGGCGGCGUUAUGGGACUUUACCUUGUGGAUCAUAACUGAGAACCCUCUCUUGGGAUCUGGAUCAGGACCCCUUUCUGGUAACAUCUUCCUGGCAAACCCCAAAGGGAUGAUACUGAGGAGACUUCUGACCCAAAGGAAAUGGACUGGCUAAAUUUGGCUUGGCCCCCACUGCUAUGGUGCAGUGAGCUGGGUUACUAGGGCCACUUAGGAAAAGGGAACCCAGAAGCCUAGAAUGCUGGCAAAAGGAAUCAAGAAAAACUUUUUUUUAAGCUACUUGUAGCUUUUCACAAUUGAGUAAGAUAUACUCCUGUAAACAAAAUUUGGAGCACAUUUGUUUCUCUCUACCUGAUUUCUCCAGAAUUUGGAAACUAGUUGACAACUUUGUGCCCUGUCUCCCAGUUUAACAUGGACCUUUCAGUCUGUAAUGCAGAGGAUCCUCUAGAGCAUAACUCCACAAGGCAGAAGACAAGUUUACUGUGGACAAAAAAAAUGGGCUAGAAUGUCUUCAGCUUCUCAGGCCCUUAAUAGGGCUGAUGAUGGAUGACUCUACUGGAGAAAAGGAAGACAAAGAGGUUUCAGAUCAUCAAUAAAGCAGCUGACUCUAAAGAAACGGCUAGAAAUCAUAUUUAAAGUCAAUCUUAAAUGAAUUUGAAAAAAAUACACAUAAAGAUCAUUACCUGCCUCAUUUGGACAUAUCAGACCUAUGAAUAUUUAUGUAGAAACAAGAGCUUAUAAUUAUCACAAAAAGAAAAUGAACACUACUUUUCCCAUUUAGAAAAAUAUGAAAGGCAAAUUUUAAAUGAAAGUCCUCUUGGGACAUUUGAUAUGUCAUGAACUAUCAAGACCAUGACUAUUUUUUAAUAGCUUUUGAAAUCUUUCUUGAAAAUGUCUCUCUUCUUUUCUCCGUUCUUAUUAUUUAUUCCUUAGUUUCGACCUUAAUAUGUUUAUUAUUCUCAGUUGCUUCUGUAAGCCUUAACUUUUAUCAAAUUUGUAAAAUAGCAGAGAAUAGAAUUUUGAUGUCAUUCAAAUGCCUCACCUAGUACUAUGCACAUAGUAAACACACAACUAAUACAACUGCACUUGGAUUCAAAGAUCCUUCAAUGGUGGAGAAUAGAAAAGCUAUAGGGCAGGAUUUCUAGUCUGCACAGAGCUGAGCACAGAGGAGCAGUGCUGUGUCAAGGGCAAGACUCUCACAAGUGGCUGGAGCAAACAGACAGGAAAGACUCUUCCCCUAGAACCUAAGUAGCCAGUUGUUCAGGCCCAAAGGACCCCUCUGUUGCUAAAUCAGGGAUCAAGCCUUAAAUAGGUUAAUUUUUUCCUUAUGUGAACAUACAAGGGUAAGCAGACUUACCAUUCUCAUCAAAAGGAGAUGGAAAAGGGACACAGAGGUCUGACACCUGCAUAAGCUAACUAGCUACCUGCAAUCUAGCUGGUACAAUAGCUAUCUUUAAUUUUUAGUAAGGGAGCUCAAGUAAGUUGCCCUAGAUGAAAAAACCAGUAAGGAGAAAGCUUAAAUAACUUGCCCAAGAUGACACAGCUAGCACAGGGCAGUGCUUGAGUAACUUCCCGAGGUUACACAAGGUAGUGAGAGUUGGAAUUGCUAGGUUGUUCAGCACCACACUUUCCUCCUCUCUACCUCAAUGGUUCCUGGCUCUGUGUGGGUGUCUCCUAGCAGAUAAAAUGGUCCUCUUCCAUUUACAUUUGCCUUAUCCUUAUAUCUUCCAAGUGGUUCAUAAGACAAAAAGUGCCUGCCCUUGAUAGACUGCCUCCCACUGCAGCAAGUCUAGCAUUGAGGAGCCCUAAGACUAGAAUGACAGCUUCCUAGAGGGAGGAUAGAUAGGAAAGGCUCCUGAGACCUGGGGCCUGGGAGAAGGAAGAAGUAGGUUCAAGAUUAAGAGGAAGUGAGUGAUACGCUUGGCUCAGACAUAAAAUGUAAUGCCCACCAAAAAACUCAGUCAUCAAUCUAAAUAAUAUUUACUGAAAUGAUUUUUAAAAUCAUAGUGUGAGAAACCCAUGAAGAACAAAAUAUCAAACUUGUAAAUAAAGACAGGAUCUGGCAGGGCCAGUGUGAUGGUGAGGCAAGUGAGGCUAAGUCAUGUAAAUGAAGGGUUGGACCCUAUCUUAAACUGCUGAAAUUUUAUUUAUCAUGGUAUUUUCUGGCAUUUUGAUUGUUAAAAUAAUUCAUUAUAUUAUUUAUCUUGAUUACUGCAUUUUGGCACCCCCAUAAAUUUUGUGCCUGAGCUGACUGCCUCACUCACUUCAUUCUAACAUUUUGGCUUUAGGGUAAAGGCUGGGGAGCCAAUCUGAACCUGACAAAUAGUCUGGACCUCACAAAAGAAAGGAGAAAGAUGGGAGCCUCACUACAAAUUUCAUGCCAGGCUCCUCUUGGUACAUUAUUUUGUUUAUUCCUAACAGCCACCCUCCAAGGCAGCUAUUAGUAUUAUCAUUUAUAUAGGCAACUGAGUGCCAGUAUUACAAAGGUAGAAAGUGACUGAGCUGGGUUUCAGCCAAGGCCUGUCUGUCUCUAGAGCCUGGCAAUUCCCACUACUGGCUGAUACGUGCCUAAUAGUUUAUAACCAAAUUUCUUGAUGUUUUCUCCACCUUUCAAGUCACAGGCUCCACCACGUGAAGACAGAAAUCACAAUGGGAAAUUUUAUUUGCUUGUCUACUCUUGAAGCUGGGUGAAAUUUUAAACCAUAGCUCUCCUUUCCUGACAUCCUUAAAUUACUAUUCUUCCCAAGUUAUUCAUAUUUUAUGUCUAGUAUGAAGCUCAGACAGUAAAGGUGUGAAUGCAAUGCACCCGUUUUACAUGUAGCAUUCAUUACUAUACUCGAUUGGUGUGCCAUUUGCUGCACCACAGCAUAUUUAGAACAGAACAGAUCAGUCAGUUGAGGGAAUUCAGUAACACUCUACACUUGUAUCCAGUCAAUUGUUGAUGGUAAUCCAAUAUUGGAUGUGGUGAAAAGAGGGUGGGCUUAGGGUCUAAGUGAAAUUGACUGCCAGUGUGUGACUCUGAAUCGUUUAUUUAUAUCUCUGAGGUUUUGGUUCCCUUUUUUAUAAAAAUUUUAUUAAAUAAGUUUUCAUUUUUCCAUAAAACUAAGAUUGAAGAAAAGUCUGCCUUUCUUAAAGUCAACAAGGUCUACUGAUAAAGAAGGUACCGUGUAAUCUCUACUUUCAUGACAGAAAUCCAGGCCUAGUCAAUACUUUUUUCUAUUAUCACUGUAAUUAAGGCAUAAGGCUUUCCCUGAUAUAACAAAUGAUUAAACCUCUCAAUAAAUAACUUCACAUA